rnacentral:tRNA from 4 species
GGCCCUAUAGGCGAAUGGCUUAAGCCGCCACUCUUUCAAAGUGGAAAUUACGGGUUCGAGUCCCGUUAGGGCUA